GAAUAGACCGUACUUUUUGGAAUAUGAAUCUGAUAGUAUGAAGAUGUCUAAUUUCAUAAUUGACAAUAACUCUGUUAUGCUUAGAGGAAGUGUUUUUCAACAAAUACUCAUUAUUUUCAUGGUAACCCAAUGUGCAUGUAUUUCGCAAAAUCUUUUCCUGUAUACAUAUGAGACUGACUGCACAAGAGCUUAUACGGAAUAAUGAAAAGGAGCUAACACUGACCUUAACUUAUUUUUCCGCUAUUGCCAACGAAGCUCGGUCGAACUCUCUUCAAGAUACCUUUAAUCACUCUUUAUUUUAUUUUUAAACAAAUAGAUAUACAGAAAGAAGGACAAAACAUCGGUUUAAAAAAUCAAGCAUGUAAAACAUAGAAUAUUGGAGCUCUUAUAGGCAAAAUAUAUUGAAAAAUAAGUGUCGUUGUCAUGUAAGAUAACUCAAAUCGACCAUAUGAUAGGUACGGGAUAGUGUUCCAUGUAUAGGAGUUCUUGUGUGAGUGAAAUUUAAGGUUGGAAUUUUGAGAAAUAACAUGAUUAAUAAAAGUACAUAUUUUUUAUCAUUUUACAUCUAGUUAAAAUUAUCUAAUAUGAGCACAAAAUUCUAGUGAAGGAGUGAUACAAUGAUUGUGUUCUGUAUAAGUAUUUGUUGAAUUGGCAUUUUUCAAAAAUAUGUGCAGAAUUUAUAUUUGUUUCAAAUAGGAAUAAUAGUCGGCAUGAGCCAAUUUUUAUUCUGUCCAGUACGACAGUUAAAUUUAUAUAUAACAUGUCAUUACAAAGACCGUAAUUGUCAGCGUAUAUCAGGAUGUAAACCAAACAAAUUUACAUCCCUUUUUUCUUUGGUACAUUUAAAGCUUAAGUAAUCAUGUCGUCUGAAGUUCAAAAAUAUUUUAUAAAAUAUGCGCACAAAAAAAGGUGAUACGUUGAAACACGACAGAUACUGUAAAUUCUGAAAUUAUUGCGUGUUUUUUUAUUAUUGCUAAUAGAGCAAUUGGUUGGGUAUCGCAAUAAUUAGAACUGUCAUUUAGAUAU
rnacentral:lncRNA from 1 species